GGUUAACACAAACACAGGUUAGGGAGUGGAAUCAGAUAUCAGCUGACAAUUAUGAUAUAUAGGAAAACUAAAAAUCUGGUAAAAAGUAAAGCAACCAGGACAUAACUUUUCUUUGUUCGGAUUAAAUUGUAUCCCUACCCCAAAAAAAUUACCAGGUAAUGGCAAAAAUUUUGGAUAACUUUUCUUUGUUCGGAUUAAAUUGUAUCCCUACCCCAAAAAAAUUACCAGGUAAUGGCAAAAUUUUUGGGCAUCUGUUUUAUCACAAUUUCUGAACUGGCCGUGUCACAAACUGACACAAGCACAAACCUAGUUCCCCAGAUCCCUAGGCACCAUUGAAUUACAAAUAUGAUCUGGAAAGGAGCUGCCCACGAUCAAUUUCCAUGGCUGAAGUGCCAAGAUGACACCACCUCACAUUCUAUCAUUAGUACCAAUGCAAUACAGCAGUUCUACCAACUAAUAUUAGUGGUGGUAUGAAAGAUGCGUGGAACCAUAAACAAAAACGUUAAAUCCCUCCCAAAAUGCAAACAUCACUUAUAUUGGUUAUAGUAAUUUACAUUAUCUGGGGAUUAAGCUAUGCAGAUUCCAUCUGUAGUAUAAAAAUAGUCAAGUUAUCAUGAUAGCAAAUAGACAAUAGUGAAUGCUUCUCUGAACCUAUCAUAUUGGCAAAUGUCAGAAUGAGAUGUAAAUAAAUUUGUUGUUUAAAAAAGCUAAAAAGAAAGCAUUUCUAGACCUAUUAAAUUGGUGAAUUUCAGAAUAACAAACAAAUGUAACUGAUAUAGAAAAUUAACAGGAAAAAAAAAAAACAACUAGGUUCUCACCAAUACCAA